AGCUACAUUGGGUGGAAGGAGCGAACAGCAAACAUAGUAACAAAACACAGUAAAAUCAAAACUUUCAACAACGGAUCUCUUGGUUCUCGCAUCGAUGAAGAACGCAGCGAAAUGCGAUAAGUAAUACGAAUUGCAGCCUUCGUGAGUCAUUGAAUCUUUGAACGCACAUUGCGCCCGCGGGCAUUCCCGCGGGCACGCCUGUUUGAGCAUGACAUCUCCCUCCACGGGUGUUGGGCAGUAGCCUGAAGUUGUUGAGUGGUGUGUGAUACGCAUUCGCACUGCUUUUGACGUUUUCUCAAAUCAGGUGGGACUACCCGCUGAACUUAAGCAUAUCAAUAAGCGGAGGA
rnacentral:rRNA from 1 species